rnacentral:misc_RNA from 1 species
GAUGAAGAACGUAGCGAAAUGCGAUAAGUAAUGUGAAUUGCAGAAUUCAGUGAAUCAUCGAAUCUUUGAACGCACAUUGCGCCCGCCAGUAUUCUGGCGGGCAUGCCUGUUCGAGCGUCAUUACAACCCUCAGGCCCCCGGGCCUGGCGUUGGGGAUCGGCGGAGCCCCUCGUGGGCACACGCCGUCCCCCAAAUACAGUGGCGGUCCCGCCGCAGCUUCCAUCGCGUAGUAGCUAACACCUCGCGACUGGAGAGCGGCGCGGCCACGCCGUAAAACACCCAACUCUUCUGAAGUUGACCUCGAAUCAGGUAGGAAUACCCGCUGAACUUAAGCAUAUCAAUAAGCGGAGGA